rnacentral:rRNA from 1 species
UGAGGUACUGAGGAAUAGCUCGGCUACUCCGUCCAGCAGCGCGGUAAUACGUAGAUGCAAGCGUAUCCGGAUGAUUGGCGUAAGCGUCCGCAGGUGGUUUUCAAGUCUGAUGUCAAAUACCGAGGCUUAACCUGAUCAAGGCAGUGGAAACUGCGAGACUAGAGUGCGUCAGAGGAGAAGGAAUUCCUGGUGUAGCGGUGAAAUGCGUAGAGAUCAGGAAGAACACCGAUGGCGAAAGCAUUUUUCUAGGCCGCAACUGACACUGAGGCACGAAAGCUAGGGGAGCGAACGGGAUUAGAUACCCCAGUAGUCCUCGCCGUAAACGAUGUCAACUAGGCGUUGUCGAAUCGAUUCCGGUCAGUACGGUAGUUAACGCGGUAAGUAUCCCCCUUGGGGAGUCCGCAGCCAAGUGUGAAAUUCAAGGAAAUGGAGGGGGGCCCCCCCAAGCGGUGGAGUAGGUGGUUUAUUUGGAUGCAACGGAAAGACCCUUCCCAGGGCUUGCCAUUUCGAGAAUCUCGAGAAAGUCGAGAGUGCCUUAGGGAGCGCGGACCCCGGUUGUGCAUGGCUGUUGUCAGCUUGUGUUGUGAGAUGUUGGGUUAAGUUCCGCAACGAGCGCCACCCUCGUUCUUUAUUUCCAGCAUUAAGUUGGGCACUCUAGAGAGACUGCCGGUGACAAACCGGAGGAAGGUGGGGAUGACGUCAAGUCAUCAUGCCCCUUACGUCUUGGGCUUCACACGUCAUACAAUGGUACGGACAGAGGGCAGCAAGCCCGCGAGGGCAAGCAAAUCCCGCAAACCGUGUCUCAGUUCAGAUUGCAGUCUGCAACUCGCCUGCGUGAAGUAGGAAUCGCUAGUAAUCGCGGAUCAGCAUGUCGCAGUGAAUUCGUUCCCGGGCCUUGUA